CGGUCCGCGCCGGGCUGUGUCCCCGGGGGGGGGGGCAGCAAGGUCGCGGCCUCUAGCGCUUCGUUGUGCGUGGGCGUGCAAAAAGGUGAGCGAGAGCAGGGUGAGGCACUUCAGUGGUGACCGCCACGUACGUUUCCUGGGAGAAGUGGGAUCCAAGUUAUGGUGAAAACUACUUAACCCCCCUCCCUCCCCCCCCCCCAACAGUCAAUUGAUAAUUGGUAGCAGAAGUGUCUCGAAGGCGAUCAAAAAGAUUUUUGCUCGUUUCCUACAGAUGGUCUCGUCUUCUAAACAGUAGAUCAGAGCCUGGACACCUGACUUCUUAUUUUGGCCCUGCUUCUGACUCCGUCUGACCCUUGGAUGGGUCAUUUUUAUUUACUUCUGCUGCAUGUUCCACUGAGACCAAAAUUAAGUAAAUUGGCAAAAGACAUAAAUAAAAAGUAAUGUUUGUAAAACAUUUUUAGGGUUCCUGGGUACGCGAGUGAAUUUUAGUUUAAAAGUAGCACGUCCUUUUCACGUGCAGGCAAAACUAGCUCUGUAAAAAAAAACAAAUGCACAAUUUUGGCCUGGAUUGAGUGUGAACAGUGGAGCUGAAAGCCUCUGGAAAGUCGCGUUUACCGUGGGAAUAAGUGUAACGGCCUUAAGUAGAGUUGUAUUGUAAAAAAAAUGUCUGAGUAAUAUAAAUAUUUUUCCUUCACUUUCAUCCAAAUGAAAGACUUGUGCAAUAAAGUUUAGCUUUGUUUUUGUUCGCUUGUAUAACAUUAAAAAAAUGCUUCUUAAAAUGAAUGAUACAUAUACAUCCUCUGUAGGUGAGAUCACACCAAUAUUUUGAAGAAAAUACACAUGGAAAUGUUUCCGUUUUUAUUUGUUUAUCUAUCUAGGAAUCAAUAUAUCUAUGGGGGGUGGACAAACUAAUAUAUAUAUAUAUAUAUAUUAGCUCCCCCCCCCAAUCCUCCAUAAGUUGAAAAUCGGAGUACAUAUUUAUGGAUUUGGCAUUGUUUCUCCCAGCAGAGAAAAAGCGCCCAAACACGAGAGCCACGCUUCACAACUGUUAAUGCAUUUCAGAUGAUUGUCGUGGGUAGAUACAGUUUUGUAAACAAACUGCAUUUUUGUGUCAUCACUGUAACGUGGUUUGUGCGGUAUUGAUCGCUUUUACAACAGAAGAGAAGACUUAAAAUAACAUAGACGUGAUUAUAUUGUUUAAAUUAAUAAAGACACAAUUUUGUUCUCUUCGUAAUGUGGAAAGAUAGUGUUUAUUUCAAGUGAUUACAAAAUACCACCUUAACAGGGCUAUUUCCUUAGGCAUUUCCCUGAAUAUGCUUGCCAGAUCCAUCUUAUGUUAGAUAUAUUGUUAUCAACCUCAAAGUAUUGCUUUCUUAUGAGUUUUAUGGGAUCUUGCAGGUUUAGAGAAACUAAGCAUGGGGAGUGACCAGAGUCCUUGUAUAGUAAUGAUAGGAAGUUGAGCCAAUAAUUAAUUUAUUUUCUGUGGGAAGGUGAAAAUACUCCAAAAUUUCUAUUGGUAUGCCAUUGUUUUCCAAAUACAGUGAACAGUUAAUACUGUGGGCGCAAGAGUCUUUGCUGAUAAACAUUUCACCUAGUGUGUAACCUGUGCCUCUACUUCAUCUGUAUGAUUGCCCAUAUUAUUGUAUUUUCCCUUAGCUACAGAGGAAUCUGUCAGUAACUACAUGGGCAGAGGAUAACAAAUACUAAUUAAUGUCUAAAAAUUGAUUCUAGCAGCCUGGUUUCCCCUGCUGUGCUCCAAAACUCUCGAGCGCACUCCUUGUUUCUUUAAUUUUGUGAAGUAUGUGUGCUUUCAGUUGCUGCUUAAACAAAAUAGAUCUUUACUGUGCCUGCAGCAGUGAGUUCAGGUCUCCUGGCCUCUUAAAAGUCCAGUGCUUAAAAUCUUUUGGAAGAAGAAAAAAGGGAAGGGGUAGGGAGGCGGAUGGCUGGAGGCUAGUGUUAAUGGCUUUCACCCUUGUGUCUAUCCUAGGUUACGCAGGAGUGAGAAAGAUUAGAUCUAGAUCCAAGCUUCAGGUUUGUUCUGAUUUGGUGCUUUGUCCAGAAUUGUGUUUUGUAAUAAAUAAAAUGACCUGAGUUAUAUUAGUCCUAAGACUCCUGGGACCUGCAGAUACAUGGUGGUAGUUGUACAUGAACAAUUCCCUUUGAUUUCAUUGCAAGUUGUUUACAAACACUGGCUGCAUAACCAGAUCUCUAGUAUUCCAAACUAUGUUAAAAAAAUUAUGUUUGGAGUAAUAGCUAAUAUAAACGGGGAAACUCAGACAAGAAGUGACAGAGGAGCUUGUUCACAGCAGUACAAACCAAGUUGUGUCGUGGCAAUUUUUUGCUAGUUCAAAGAAACAAGCAGCAUAGAAAUAUCCAUAUAAAAAUAACACUGCAACCGAUAAUGGACCAGCUUGUUGUUGUCUUCCAAACAACUAUUCAGUGCAUGAGCAGAAUCAUGGGCUGAAUCAAGAAAAAUGAGUGUACUCAUAGUGGAGAGCAUACUGAGCCCGAGUAGUGGAAUAGAAAGGAAUUGAGUCAGGAAAUUAAACUUUACUCUGAAAAGUCUAUGAAAAGGCUUUACUCUCUGCUAUAUAAAGAAAGCAAAAUGAAAAUCCAUCUAGUGCAAAAAUAAUAAAAUCUGAUACAAAUUUGGAGUCAUCUUGCGCACAAGAGUAACAGGAAGGAUCGUUUCAGGUCAGUCCUAUUUUUUAUUCUAUCACAGGCUUCCUAUUUACCCUUAGGGGAAAGUUAAGCUCUGUGCCUCAUUUUCCCCCAGAUGUGAAAUGGGAUAACAACUGCCCAGGGGAGUGGCAAAGAUAAUUCAGUAAUGCAUGUGGAGUAUUUUGAGACCAUGGGGUGGAAAGAUUUAUUAAUGCAAACUAUUAUUAAAUACAUGUAACCCCAAAACAACAGGUAAAACAGCUCUUUAAUGGUAGGGGCUAGCCAAGAAACUGCUUUUUGCAAUAUAAUGUGCAGAAAGUUUCCAUUUUACACCAAAGAUUGCAACAAAAAAGUUACUUCCUCAUAUUGCUUUUGCUAGUGUAUACUUGUGAUAAUGUUUCCUGUGAGCACAUGGCUCUGUAAAGUGUAUUAAGUGUACCUGGGUCUUCACAAUCUAACAAGAGUGCGAACUGAGGUUUAGCAAUCGCUUUACUGGGACAUGGGCACUGUACUGUUGGAUUUUGUGCAGGGUUUGCAGUACUUCUGCCACGCCUUGCCAAACCCGGAGCAAGGCGGUCUCUAACUCCAGUGUCAGAGCAUGAUUUGGUGUGCCUUGCAUAAUAGCAUCUCAGCUUGCCACCAGGAGAGAGAUCCAGUUUUCUGUUACUCAGCGAUGCUGGACUGAAUAUACAGCAUAAAGCGAUAGUGUCAUACAUACUAGCUUCUCAGUCUUAGGCUGCUCCCAUUCAUUCUCUUUAAUAUGCAACUCAUGCUGCCUCUGGCUGCUGUGUUAUGGGUCCCCCAAGUUUUUUAAUGUAGAUUGGAUGUUGCCUUUUUAUUUGUAUAUCAGGGAUAAUAAUGCAGGAACAUCUGACCUCAACAGGAAAAAGGAAGAAAUCGAGUACCAGCAAUUUUUUCCAAGCUCGAACAAUGCAUCGGUGAUCUACUGUAACCUGUAUGUCACUUCUCAAAUGGAGUCUAAAAUGUUGUUUGUCUAUAUGCAAAUAUACUUUAGUUUAUUUCUGCAGAACUGAUUAUUCUAAAUACAGUCUGUGUACUGCAGAUUUUACUUGGCAGAUGGAAGGUACAUUGCACUUUUUGUGCAGGGAUUUCUUAAGAAUAUUUAUUUGGUUUGUCCUAUAAUGUUUCUUUGGCAGUCAAGUCCGUCUUAACUAUUAGGUGCCAAAUACACAUAUGUCUUUGUUCUGAAAGAGUUGUUUUUUUAGCACAAAGGAUCAUGCAAUGAUUGUAGACCAGUCCCUUUUCUAUAGCAAAGAUCAUAGACCAAACAUUUUUCCAUACAAAAGUUAACAAGUAGUUUCUUUCUGUAGCCAAUUGUAGCUCAGCUUCUAGCGCAUCAUAUAUGUUUUUGUAGCUAGCUUCUAUUCAAAAAAAUGUUCUUCCUCUUGCUUUACAUACACCCAUCCUCUUAGUUUUGCCUGGGAUCCACGUUCAUAUUUCUUUGUUGAAAGUCAUGCAGUUAACAUUGCAAUGAUAAAAAAGUAGGAAGUAGUUUAAAUGCAAGAUGUUUAUUCAUAGAUUUAGUUAUUAAGUGUGUGAUAUCAGAAUAAUCUAUCACACUUUUAUUGGUGAUGUUAAAAAAAGAAAGCUUUAAGGACUACCACAAUUGUCCGGGAUAAUCUGCACAAACCAGUCGCACCAUUACACCCACUAGUUUCUGCAUCAGACCCAUCUCUUUUCUAUGAUACAUGGCAAUCUUUUAGAAAUAUAACUAGUCUGGGCUUAAAGACUUUGUGACAGAGACUUCAGGUCUUCCAAUCGUUUUAUUUUGCAUUUGAUUCAGCCUGAGGUAUGUUGAUUUAAUUCUUUAGCAUCCCUUGUCCAGAGCAGUUGUGUGGGGGAUUGCAGAAGAGCAAAAAAUGUUCAUAUUCUUAAAGAAAUAUUUCAAUCUAUUAAUAAAAAGGUACAUAUUUUCAAAGAAAACGUUUCUUUGUAAAACAUGAAAAAUUGUGUUGGGCAGUUAAGGGUAGAAUUCAGUCUGUUCUUGUAGUUAAAAUCAUCAUUUUGAGCAAAUUCAUUCUUCAGUAGUUGCCAGAUUUUUAUUUUAGCACUGCAUUUCCUCACGUCCAGAAGCUGCUACUGAGUUGUGUAUUUAACCUAUGCAAAAGACUGGCCAUUUAAGCACAUCAGCUUGUACCUCUAAUUUACCAAAAUUCCAAUGGUGUCAACAAAAUAGUGAAAACAAACCAAAAAAAAUCUGGCUCUGAUUUCUUUGGGCCGUUACAAAGUCUUUGUGAUAAACUCAAAUAGCCAAAUUUGAAUAUACAAAAUUAAGUUGGCAGUAAAAGGCUUGAGGAGCUUACUAGAAUUUGGUUCUUAAUGAAGACAACCGAAGAACUUGGGCAACAACGCAAAACUGGGUAAAUGAGGGGUAGGAAGUCUGAUUGCAUUCCUAGAACAGUUUUAAAGUUCACAGUUGCACAUAUUGAGGUCAACAAACAAAACGCAUUUUCUACAAUGAUUUGAAUGAAUGAAGUAUGGUUGUUUGAAAUUUUUUCCGUUGGCCAACACAGAAGCAGUGAACAUAGCCAAAACCUUAAUAUUUAACAAGCCCUGGACAAAAAGUGAUUACCAGUAUUUGCUGAUUUGAGUCCCACCCCUUCCGAAAAGAAUUGUAUGUUAUUUUUCACGCUUGAUUAGUUUUGAUCUAGCAGUUCUCAGGAAAGCAGGCUAGGAUCUUUAGUUUCCCUGAAAACAAGGGCCAUCACCCACAGAAAGAGAAAGUGACUGCACUAAACUUGCCUUAGUGGCUAUGAGGGCUUUCAAGUCUGACAGUUUAAGUAGUGAAGAUGAAAGUGAGGACAGUUCUUGGGCAGGGGACUGCAGGAGGAAUGCGAUUCAUAGGACAUAGUUACUACUGUAAUUACGAGUGCAGCUGCUAAAGUAACUUCUGCCAGUACUAAAAAAAUCAAUGUCAUGUCCAGUAAUCUGUUGCUUGCAGCGCAAGUGAUAAAGAUGGGAACAGAAGUAGCACAAUAUUUUUUUCCAGUUACCAGCUCUGGACUUGUGUACUGUACAGCUCUGUUUCCACCUGGUCUGAAAUGGAUGCCAACACUUUACUUUUGUAAAGUUUACAGGACUUUUAGGAGUUCAGAGUGGAACAAAACCAUGUGAUUAAAACUGACUGUUUUUUUUCUUAAACAGUAAAUUUGCCUCCCCUCCUCCCUCCCCCCCCCAAAAAAAAGGGGGGAAAAGAAGUGAUUUGUAAGUGACUGCAACUUUGUGAAGCCAGAUCCAAUUUAGUAAUUUAAUCUAAAAAAAAAUUAAAUGUGUCAAUUUCUAAAAACAACAUCAAUAUAUUUCAUUACAGUAUUUUAAAAUCAACUUUAAAGGGUUGUAAAAGAAGGUAAAUAUCCUUAAAAUCAAAUGAAACACAUCUCUUUAGGUUUCAGCCAAAAUUCCAAGAAACUUUCAGUUUGCCUCAAGCCAAAGCAUCUCUUACUUCCCCUGCGCUUAAUUUUCAUUUCACUCACAAACAAAAAAGCCCCCAUGUUUGCCCAGCUGUAUAUAACCUAAAAGUCAAAUUUUCCUAACUAAAAACAUAGCUAAGACUCUAUCUUUCAUAAUUAACACAGCAUUCAUCUGCAACUCUUAAGUGAAAUACCUGUUCUUACCCCUUGUUGAAGUGACUUGCAACAGGUCACAUAGUGGGUUAGUGUCAGGCAGCUCUAGGGUUUGGCAGCAGAAUCGAUUUCCAUAGUCGUGGAGUCUGCACCUGCAUUAGCAACCCAAGCGUCACCUGAGCAAUAACAGGAAUGACUUUGCUUUGCCACAUAAGCAAACAUUUGUGUUGCUUAAUGGUAGCGUGACGUUAAAAAAGCUGUUCUCCCUCAUUUUGUUCAUUCCUUUCUUCCUCCUCUUCAAAGGAGAUCACAUUUCAGUUUCUCUUAAGAAGAGUGAGAAUGAGUUACAAACUUUUGUUUUUCCCGGUCUUUGUUUCUAGAAGAUAAGGAAGAUGCAUCAUUCCUGUCAUUCAUUCUUUUCCGAUGGGGAGAUGUGUUUUGACGUACGUUCUGCCUUGGUACUUGAGCAAAGCCUUUGGUGGUGUGCUCUGUGAAAGGGAUACUCUAAAUGGAGAGUCAGCUGAAUAGAUACCUCUCAUGACACAUGGAUGGUCAACAUGAAGUUGCUUUUUACAUAGAUAGUUGGAAUUGCCUUCAAACGAACAAGCAGCCAGGAUCAGCUGACAUGAUCUUUCAGGCAUUCUGUGGAUACUAUUCAUGGUGCAUUCACACUUUGUGCAGAUUUGGAAAUGCCUGUCGCCAUCUCGUAUGGUCCUCAAGUCCCCGUGUUUGAGGGCAUGAAAGAAAAAGAGGUCAAGGAUUUGUUGGGGUUGGAGGCCACAUGACACAUCUUCUAUCGGUUGUAUGCCUAAUUAUGCAACUAAAGAGAUCCCUUCUUCAGGCAGUUGGGAAGAAAAGGACUGGCGAGAAAAGCUAAUUUCAUAGACGUGCUGAAAUCCCGACUAGUGCUUGAACAAGAAGAAUUUUAAGAGAACAACUGGAGUGGCAUUGUUCUGCAUUUGGAUAUCCUCAGACUGAGCUUAUGGCCUCUUGCUUGCAGAAGGGGCAGCAAGCGCGAAUCAGGCUAUAAUACACGCAGGACAAACGUGGUUUGAAGACACCAUCUUUUGAUGACGUAGUAGGCUCUGAAGGUGAUUCUGGGGCAGCAUCUAGGAAAGAGCCUAUACGUGCUGAGUAAAUGAGGUCCAGGAGCUCUGCAAAUAACCCCCACAGAAGCCUGAGACACGACUGCUGAAUAAUCAGGAGCGUCGCAGAGGUAUAAGAACCACACAACGGAGGACCACAACUAGCUACAAGCCAACCUUUAAACGGGGAAGUGAUGUCCAGUCAGGAUGACCUUAGAGCAGUAGAGGCGCACAGUGAAACGGAAAAGGACAACGCAGGCACCCAGCAAAGCAGUGCAGGAUACCAGCGGGCAGUACAGAUAUGCGUGGGACUAUAAGAUAUACAGUAAUGCACAUUCAUAUCCUGAAGAGCUUCCAGUUAAGAGGAAACAGAAAAGGGAUGGGAAAAAAGAGCUCGGGACCAGGAAUGUGUUGAUAGGAGAACAAACGGUGAAGGAGUCCAUGAAAGAAGUGUCUUAAAAAAGAGGUUUGAAAGGGAGCUGGCUGGAGUUUGGUCCAAGUCCCGGGGGUAGUGUGCACUAUAGUGAAAUGCCCCUGUGGCGUGAUAUAAUGACCAGUCAUCGCCAGAUGUGGUUGUUUGAAAUGCCUUCACAUCAUCGUCAUGGAGUGGUUCUGCUCUCCUUGACUGCGUGAGCUUGGAACUCGGGCACAGCGUUGUCCAACAGGGCUGUCCAAAUGCUCUGAGUUGGUACAGAGUUAUAGAUCACCCUAAAUCACCUUUCAAGAAAGCAUCCUGAAGAAGAAUCUGAUCCAUCUGCUACCAUCUGUAAGUUGGAGCUUGUUCUGAUGCCGUGCCCAUCACCAUCGGAGCUGCGCACCCAGCAGGUGAAGAUGGAGAAAUUCAGAAGAGUUUGGGAUGUCUGUGUUUCGUCUCUGUGUGGCGGUCUUGCUGCUCUCCAGAAGCAAGCAGCAUAUAAGCAGAAAAAUGUCAGAACCCAUCUUUGGAUGGGGAAGAGGAAACAGUUUAGAAGGUAAAGCCACCCAGGGUGACAAGUAGGUACACUACCCUACCCUAUUUUUCUAUGAUGCUAGCCCUCCAACAACUAUUCCAUUGGAGACAGGAAAGCUGACUUGCUGACAGUAUGCUGAAAGUCAAGCUUUUUCUACUGGGUUGGCAGCUCUAUAUAAUGAGUUUGUUUUACUCUGCCACCAUCUAUAAGUUGGAAGACUCCAGGUAGAAAUUAAGGUGCAAAAGGUAGUUGAAAUUGGAUGGUCAGUUUAAUCUCUGAAUGAUUCUCAUUGCAAAGUAGUUUUCAUUCCUUUUCUAAAAAAUUCUGCAUUUUGACUCAGCUGAAGGACACGUACGUUCAAGUCUUCUUGUUCAACUCAUCAGUGAGCAAAAAUAUAAUUUUGAGAGGAAGGCAAUAAACUUCCAGAAUUUCCCCCCCCCAAAAUUUAUUCUUUCUUUGACUUCAGUUUUUGGUACUCAAAACCUCUCAGAAUAAAGACCUGUCUUAUUUCUUAUUUUAGGCUCUAAUCUCAGAUAUGCUAUUACUGGUAAGAAAAGAAAAGAAAGCAAGUGUGUCAAUCAGAAAAUGUUAAUUUGUUCAAAUUGAAAUGUUUUGUUAGAAUGUGUUGACUUCAACAAAAUGUGAUGGAAAUACUUCAAGAUUAUUCCAAAUUAAAAUGAAGUACUCUGCUUCACC